AGAUAGUGGCUGGAUUUAUUUGGGCUUUUGGAAAAUUAAGACCUGGUUCAAGCGCAUAGUUCUGUUUUGUUUUCUCUGAGACAGUCAACAGUGUAAUCAAUCCAUGCGUUUUGAAUAACAUGAGAACCUCAGACUGACUCACUGUUUCCUAUUUCACUACCUUGAGACAGGAUGCGAAGCUUAUAAACACAUUCUGUUUGAGUCUCUAUAUGACAUGAAGUUCCUUGCUCAAGUUUACAAGCCCACAUUGUUUCAAAUCCCUAGAAUGACUGUCUGUGGUCCCUUCCAUACAUAAGCAGCUUUCUUUUCUCUAUCACUGUAUUUAUGCCUAAGAUUCUAUCUGACUGGUGAUACAGAAAUAUCUACAUGUCAGUAACUCACAAAAAGAGAAAGAAUGUGGAUCUCAACUGGAUCCUUAGAAGAACCCUUGUUAUUAAGGAGCACACUGCAACUCCAGGUGAGGAGUUCACAAAGUCAAGGGACAACCACAGCCAACAAAAACAUCGAAGAGCAACUUUCACAUACAUUAUUGAGACCUGAGUAAUUGCUGAAGACAAUCAACCAGCUAAUCAGGUUGUAGCAGAAAUGCUAAGUGACAGCUUGAACCAGUGAUUGAGCAGCUGGUGGGAAGGCAGGGCCAACCCAGGGGAGCUCAGGUGUGCACAAUGCCCCUGAGUGACUGGAGGUCACUUAAGUGAGGUCUUCCCAGACCUCAUUUAAGGGCUAGCAGUGGAGUCAAGGGUAUUUUGUUGGAGACUGCUGCCUACCUGAGGUCUUUGAAAGCCUAGGACCUUGCUAUUCAUGGAAUUGCUCUGUUUGGAAAAGACCUUCAAGACGAAGUGCAACCUAACUGUACUACUUGAACUCUAUUCUGCUGUCAUUGUUGAGCUUUCCAUCAUAUUACACAGGAAGCAGGGAGUGAGCGAAUGACUGUGUGGUGUUCAGCCACCUGCCGGAUUAAACCACAGUGCAUGGAUGUAUGUCUACUGAAUACAUGGGAAUCACACAAACAACAUCUUCUGAGAUCUGGUACUCCAGCAGAGUGGCGGCUACAGUCCUACAAAUAUGUUCCUGACUUGUAUCAGUUGCAAGUGAAUAAACACUGAGCUAGCUCCUUCAAGCAUAUUUUCAUUCCCCUUAGUACAUCAAUAGAGUUUCAGGUGUAAAAGCAGAGGAAAAAUGUGUUCUGCAGUAAUGAAAGUUCUUGCAGAGUCUGUGAGUUUUGUGGGGGGAACCCAACAAAAAAAAUACCCUCGCCAAUUCCCAAACCUGAUAGUUGGAGUUGUAGCAAUUGUAUUAGCUCUGGCCUUGAAUGUAUCUUUGUGAAAAGAGUAUUGAACAUGGGCUAAAUGUGUUUUGGUCUUUAGUGCCAACAUAAAGGCAUCCAGGCACUUAGAAAUUUAGUGGUAUUUUUCACAAUAGUGGCUGUCUCUGAAUCAAAUAAAUAAAUGACAUUUAAGCAUUUCUGUGCUACAAAGAAAAGGUGGCUAUCUUCCUUUUGUUUUUACAAUUUAGAAAGUCAUCAAAGACUAUGUAUCUCUUUAUUUUUGCUUUUGUAAAAACAUAAAAUUUCCCACAGCCCAAAGCAAAGCAGUGUGGCUAUCUGUAUCAUUUCCUGUUUUAUGCAGCCAUGCUUCAGGAAUAUUGAAGAAUAUGUAGAACUUGUACGUUUUCCAAAUCUGAAGGGGAUUAUUUGAACCUCAAAGGAGUACUGUGCAGAAAAAAGUCAUGUUUUGCUGCAAGCAAUGUGAACUAAAAGAAUAUAUAAAUACAGCCUGAGACCAAUAAAUCUGUAACUGCAAAUCCAUGGUGGCAGUAAAUGGUUUCCCUUUAAUAAUGAAAUACCACACUGGCAAAAAUAAAUAUAGAACUCAGACU